CCAAGUGGGCUGCAGAUGAGAUGGGAAUAGGGAUUUGGGAUAGAUCGAAUUUGCUCCACAUAGUUAACCUCUAAAAGCAAUGCUGGACUGCUCUAGUUGUUCCACAUCCACCAAGAGGAGGCAUUUUCCUGCAAUGUCAUCUAUAAUGUGAGUGAUCAACAUCCAACACUCUUCUGCUGCUGGCAACUUGAUAAAUUCAAGAAUCUGAGAUGCAUUUAAUGUUGUGUGUUUUGCACCAAUUUAAGUGCACGCGCUUAGCUCACGAGAUGCUGAGAUAGACCCUGUUUGGAGUAUAGAUUGAAGGGUAGCUGUUGAAUAUUGAGCACACUGUAAGUCCCAGUACCAUAGAGGUAUGCACCAAUUUUUCUGAGAAGGCGAUAGAGAAAGGAAC
rnacentral:sRNA from 2 species